AUGAAAUUAAAUUUUAUAAAGAAUUAGGUUGAUGGUAGUAACCAAAUCUAUAUAGUACUAACGAACAGUAAUAAUAUAUUAUUUAACCGAAAGGGAAUUUUAAUAAAUGGUAAUAGUAUAUAAAAUGUAGUACCUUUUGCAUAAGGGUCUAACAAGAAAAAAGCAUGUUAUUAUAUGUUACCCCGAAGUCGGAAGAGCUACCAAAAUAACCAGCUGAUUUAUAGGCUACAGAGGUCAUAGUAGUAUUAUGUCUUAAGAUUUCUUGGUAGAGGUGAAAUGCCUUUCGAAUUCGACGAUAUCUGGUUGGCUCAGAAAUAAAUUAAGUUUAGGGUUGAUGGGAUUCAAUACUUAAUAUUCUCUGUAGAGCAGUGAAUAGGAAGAACGACGUAAAGGACAAAUAAUUAUGCUGAAGUUUUUGUAGGUCAAAAGCGGUUAUUCUAUUAAGAACGGAUUGGAAGCGCAAUUUCAGUUAAUAAAAAAAAAUUUGUUUAGGAUUGGUCUUAGGGUUUAUGAGCCGGAGUAGCUGAACAAUAUUGCUAUUUUCAUAAUGUUUGGAUUAGUAGCUGGAAUUAUACUCAUUAAUGGAGAAAAAUAAUUUUAUAUAUGAAAAACUAAACUAAGGAACUCGGCAAAAUCUUCCUCCGACUGUUUAUCAAAAACAUAGCGUCUAGAAUGGGAUUAGAGGUGUUGUCUGCCCAGUGGAAACCCUAAACGGCGGCCUUAGCGUGAUGGUCUUAAGGUAGCAUGUAAGUUCCUGAGUAAUUUUCUGGUGGUAUGAAUGGGAGCACGAGGGGAAAACUGUCUCGGUUUAGUUACAGUGAAUUUACCUUGGAGGUGAAAAGGCCUUCAUAGAAUAAAUAGACGAUAAGACCCCAUGAAAUUUUAAUCUUUGUUAUAAGUUGGAAAAUCAUUGACGAAUUUGUUUGGAUUUUGGUUGGGGCAACUCGGGAGUAUUACAAACCUCCUGGAAUGUUUAUAAACUUUCAAGUGUUGAACCUCCUUCAUGCGUGGUUAUCGGAAAAAAUUACUCUGGGGAUAACAGCGUUAUCUUCCCGGAGAGGGCGUAUCGGUGGGAAGGAUUACGACCUCGAUGUUGAAUGUGGCUAUCCUUAGGGCUUGUAAGGGGCAUAAAGGGUUCGGACUGUUCGUCCAUAAAAAGCCAACCUGAUUUGAGUUAAGAACGGCGUGAGCUAGUUCGGUUUCUAUCUUUUAUUACAUUGAUUUUGUCAGUUUUUGUACGAAAGGACUUAAAAGGCAUACAUCGUUGGUGUGGUGUGAAUGCGCUGUAAUAGGAAAGGGUUAUAAAUAAUUUUCUUCAUUUAAAAUUUAUUC
rnacentral:rRNA from 1 species